rnacentral:lncRNA from 1 species
CGCAGCCGAGGGACUCUGGAGACAGCCAGCCCCGGGCUUACGGCUCAGGGUGAAAUGACGCACGCUACAGCAGCGAAGGGCGUUCCACGGGGGCACUGGAGCAGCGCUGAGGCUGUCGGAUCAUCCCUCCCUGUCUCGCGAUAUCGCGUUCUCCGCACACUGAGCAUUGUUGUUCUUGGGAAGUACACGUGAGAAAUGGGGAGAACUGGUCCGGUCCAUGGUCACUCGGAAAGCUGUCCUGCAGUGUUCUCAAGCUUUUUGUCACUGAAUAUUUCAUGUUGCCUUUGUAGAUGACUGACAAUUUGACUAUAAAUAGAAUUCUUCCGUUACGACUCCGACCCACAAAGCUGUAUGAGUUUAUUUUUAUGGUUUACUAUUCUGAGGAGAUUCAGUGUGCAGGCCUGGAGUUUUUGAAGGCUUUCCACUGGUUCUUGGAUUAUCACUCUCCACCUUUACCCCCACACAAUUAUAUAUUUAUCUUUAUAAACAUGUAUCUAUUUAAAUCACAAAUUUUUAAAUGUUAUUCUUAGCUAAUAUAUUUUAUUAUGAUUGUUAAUAAGAUUAUGUCAUUCUGACUUUGCUUAUUGCUGGAACU